rnacentral:rRNA from 1 species
CCAAGGAGUCUAACACGUGCGCGAGUCACAGGGUAGCUCGCAAAAACACACUAAACCCUAAGGCGUAAUGAAAGUGAAGGUCAGCCGCGCGCUGACUGAGGCAGGAUCCGUCCGGGUGAGCGAAGCUCUUCUUCCUUUCGCGGGUUCGUCCCGCGGGGGAGCUCGGCGGCGCACUGCCGGCCCAUCUCGACCGCUUCUUGUCGGCGAGGUGGAGCCAGAGCGCACACGUUGGGACCCGAAAGAUGGUGAACUAUGCUCGGGCAGGACGAAGCCAGAGGAAACUCUGGUGGAGGUCCGUAGCGAUUCUGACGUGCAAAUCGAUCGUCGGACCCGAGUAUAGGGGCGAAAGACUAAUCGAACCGUCUA